GAUGAACGCUGGCGGCGUGCCUAAUACAUGCAAGUCGAGCGAACAGACGAGGAGCUUGCUCCUCUGACGUUAGCGGCGGACGGGUGAGUAACACGUGGAUAACCUACCUAUAAGACUGGGAUAACUUCGGGAAACCGGAGCUAAUACCGGAUAAUAUAUUGAACCGCAUGGUUCAAUAGUGAAAGACGGUUUUGCUGUCACUUAUAGAUGGAUCCGCGCCGCAUUAGCUAGUUGGUAAGGUAACGGCUUACCAAGGCGACGAUGCGUAGCCGACCUGAGAGGGUGAUCGGCGACACUGGAACUGAGACACGGACCAGACGCCUACGGGAGGCAGCAGUAGGGAAUCUGCCGCAAUGGGCGAAAGCCUGACGGAGCAACGCCGCGUGAGUGAUGAAGGUCUUCGGAUCGUAAAACUCUGUUAUGAGGGAAGAACAAAUGUGUAAGUAACUAUGCACGUCUUGACGGUACCUAAUCAGAAAGCCACGGCUAACUACGUG
rnacentral:rRNA from 1 species